rnacentral:rRNA from 1 species
ACGGGGAGCAGCAGGCGCGAAACCUUUACACUGCACGCCAGUGCGAUAAGGGGACCCCGGGUGCGAGGGCAUACAGUCCUCGCUUUUCUGGACCGUAAGGUGGUCCAAGAAUAAGGGCUGGGCAAGACCGGUGCCAGCCGCCGCGGUAAUACCGGCAGCCCGAGUGAUAGCCACUCUUAUUGGGCCUAAAGCGUCCGUAGCCGGCUACACAGGUCCGUCGGGAAAUCCACCCGCUCAACGGGUGGACGUCCGGCGGAAACCAGGUAGCUUGGGGCCGGAAGACCAGAGGGGUACGUCCGGGGUAGGAGUGAAAUCCUGUAAUCCUGGACGGACCACCGGUUGCGAAAGCGCCUCUGGAGAACGGACCCGACGGUGAGGGACGAAAGCUAGGGUCUCGAACCGGAUUAGAUACCCGGGUAGUCCUAGCUGUAAACGAUGCUCGCUAGGUGCGGCGCAGGCUACGAGCCUGCGCUGUGCCGUAGGGAAGCCGAGAAGCGAGCCGCCUGGGAAGUACGUCUGCAAGGAUGAAACUUAAAGGAAUUGGCGGGGGAGCAC